GAGAGUGGGUUAGUCCGCACGAGCGCACCCUCGCCUUCAGUUGCCAUCAUUUAGUUGGGCACUCUGGAGAAACCGCCGGUGACAAGCCGGAGGAAGGUGGGGAUGACGUCAAGUCCUCAUGGCCCUUACGGGCUGGGCUACACACGUGCUACAAUGGCGGUGACAGAGGGAUGCGAUGGGGCGACCCUGAGCUAAUCUCCAAAAGCCGUCUCAGUUCGGAUUGCAGUCUGCAACUCGACUGCAUGAAGUUGGAAUCGCUAGUAAUCGCGGAUCAGCAUGCCGCGGUGAAUACGUUCCCGGGCCUUGUACACACCGCCCGUCACACCAUGGGAGUUGGUUUUACCCGAAGACGGUGAGCUAACCGCGAGGAGGCAACCGGCCACGGUAAGGUCAGCGACUGGGGUGAAGUCGUAACAAGGUAGCCGUAGGGGAACCUGCGGCUGGAUCACCUCCUUUC
rnacentral:rRNA from 1 species